CACUGAUUCCUGCUGUACUCACUGUCCUGGAAACGGACUUUCUCCACAAAGAUCGUUCGGGACUACUUUUCCUUCUUGCCGGAUCUAUGUAUUCAUACGCGGCAUCCAAGUGCUGCCUGACAGUGCAUCAUCAAAUAUUGCUUAUCUGGAGGUCAGUCUGCUGGGUGACUGCUAUUUGAUCCCAGGCCGCCUCUUCUACAAGAUUACAUAUGUGGCAUCGCCCGCAAAAGCCGUCAAC